rnacentral:lncRNA from 1 species
GGAAGCUUAAGGCCCACAGGAGCUUAAGUUCGCACUCACUCCCACUCACGCGUACACACGCCACGCUCGGAUCUGAACUCACACGUAGUUCAGUUGCCCUCCCCCACCCCCAACACACACUGAAAACCCGCCUAUUUGGCCCCGCGGCCCCGUUUUCAAAGCGCAGGUUCCGAUUUCCCGAGAGAUGGCAAAGGCCCUGGCAGGAAGUUUACAGGGUUUAACGUAAACAAGUUCUGGGGGAUUCUUUAAUAAUAAUAAUAGAGAAUUCCGCGUGCGCAGGGCGGGAGGGGGGAGUUGGCCUAAUGCCCCUGUGGGCUCGGCCUGCCGCCGCCGCGGGGCCUCUGACACUGCGCGCCAGGCCAGGUUCCUGAGAGCAGACAGCGCGGGCUGGGAGCGCCGGCAAGGGCGGCCCUCGCGCACCUGGCUGCCAGCCCGCAGGGGGCUCGCACGCAGACCUGCCCUUGCCACCUCAGCGCUCGGGUGCGGGCUGGGGGCGGUGGAGCCACGAAAGGUGGUGCCGAGAGCGGAGCGCAGGACAGCGCAGGAGCCCCGGCGCAUCGCGGCGCGCACAGACCCAGGAUUUGUGAAGAGGUGACCCAAAUUUCAAGACAAUGUUGGAUGCAAACGGAUUUGCCAGCAACUGCAUCACUGUCAAAACCAGCUCUGCCCGUGUCUUCCGAAGAUACCAAGUGAAAUACAUGUAGAUGGGAUUUACAUCUGAAAAACCAAGGCAAGAGGCCAUGGGAAGGGACGGAGGUGGAACAGGACUGGACAGAAGCUGAUAAAUGGUUGUUGCUGAGUACUGGGCAGAUAGGGGUUGGUUAUCCUAUUGUCUUUACUUUCAUAUAUUUUAUUUUUUCUGUAAUAAAACAAAUUAAAAUCACCUGUCGUGACCUCACAGGGGCCAGUGUGGGUUGUGGCGUGAGGCAGGAAGCUCUGCAGAGUUCCUUGGUCAAAAGGAUUAAUUACAAAAGAACUCCAUGAACACCGAGAAGAAGAGAAGGGAAUCCUGGCAUUUAAAGCCACAAAGAAACUUGAUAUGGUCUUGUCUCCUUCUCUCAAUUGACAGUGAGAAACUGAAGACCAGAGAGGGUGAGUGGUUUACUCAGUUUGGCACAACUGACCCCAACCUAGCCCUCCAUGAGGACUGAGCGCAUGAGAGAUCCUGAGCCACAGCCGCCCAGCCCUGCUCCUCUCGAAUUUCUGACCUACAGGAACUGCAAGAAGUAAUGAAAGACUGCUGUUUAAAGCCACUGCAUUUUGGCAUGAUUUGUUAUGCAGUCGUAGAUAACCAGAAAACAUCGGAUUUACAUUUUAAGAAGGUGGGGCAAGAGGAUGGUGGUGAACAUUUUCCUUCUUUCACACACACAUGCCUUGGCAUUGCGUUUGCCUGCAUGCAGCUAUGGCCUGCAGCCACUGAAGAAUGCUUGCAUAAGGAGCUCUUCUCUGCACAUACCCCGACACAGUGAUGGUAUCUUGCAGCUGCUGCUUCUGUCCAAGGCACUGCAGCCUACUCGUCAAAAGCCCGAAGCCCAGCUCUGCCAGCAGUGCACUGUGUGCUCUUAGGAAACAGAGAAGCAAAGAAGUUAGCAAGCUUGUUUUGGCAGAAGAAAAAACACAAAAUACCCAACCACAGAUCCUCAAAAAUAUUGCUAAGCACUAAUUUUGCUAACAUGUUAGACAGCCUUCGGAUCUAGGCAAUCUUGUUCCUCAGCUGGAAAGAGUUCCUGCCAGCCAUGUGAUUCCAAAUCCACCCUGGACAUAUGGGGAUAAUGAGAAAAUCAGCUCCGGCCUUCCCUGGCCUUCCAGCCAAGUGAAUGGGGGCAUCCCCUGGUGCUUCAGCCCGGGGCCCACCCAGAGGAUGCUAGCUGGCCUGCAGAGGCCUCAACCAUGCCCUCCUGGACUCAGGUAAGACUGAGGUUUCCAUGCCCUCAAAACAAUUGUUCAGACAAAAACUCACUGCCCAGGUCAAAGUCACAGCACCAGAAAGCCAACCUGAGGAUGAAGACAAAGCUCUUUGUUGGCACAGUCCCCUGAUCAUUCGAGGUCAGCAUCUCCAUCAAAAUGGACCCAAUGCUGAGGCAAGAAGGAGAACAUCACUGUUAAGAAGGUAAUGAGUCACAAAUGCUAUUUCGAUGGUUUUCUUUGAAAGAAAUACACAGAACCAAACCAAUUUUAAUUAAAGAUCUUGUCUUUGUAAUCAGGCAGCCACAAAUGAAGGCAAAACUGCUUUCAUGUGGCAUAAUAUACACAGAGCUGAACUAGUUUUCCCAUAAAAGGGCAGGUUCUUUUCUUCAAAUAAGAAAAGAGUUUGUUCCUAACAAUAUGGGGGAUGCAACAGAAAGCUGUCUUUUGCAAAGUAUAAAAUUGCAGAUCCUCCCGUGGAAGCCAUUUCUUGAUGCUAAACCAAUGCGAACGUUUGCCAAACGCACAUGCGAGCCGGGAUUAUCCUACCCUUUGAGAUUAGACAUGUGAUCCUGAUUUUUAAGUGAAAAACGCAGCCAGAGGCCAAAUAAACAUACCUACAAGUACAUCGAAAGCUCAAAUGGUUGAGAAAUGAUUGUAACACACCCCGGUGUGUAUUUCUGAGGAAGAAUCAACAUGCACAUGGAAAUUGAUGUUUUGAUUUUUAAUUUUAAAACGACGACAGAACUGAAAUACCUCCCCUAACUAGGUCCACUGAAACCAGUGAGGAGAUAAUCAUUUUCAGUUAAAUAUGCAUGUAAUUUAAUAAUCCACAGAUGGAAAAUGCAUUUGAGGUGGACUGAACACAGCCAGGAGUUUUUGCUUAUCGACAGCACUGAAUCCUGCCUUGACUAGAGAGACUCGUCAUGUGAUCAACUGUGGCCAGAGGGCAUCCUGCAGACAGCUCCUGUCACACCACACUGACCAGACUCUUAUGAGUAUUUAAGCAUCUUCAGGGAAGCGAUUGACUGUCUUAUAAUGGUCUUACAAGUACGGAACUUUAUUACCUGCUAAUAAUCAGAGCACAUGAUGGCACAAUAGAAUAUACGAGUGAAGUUCUAAAUGCAAGGUUGUUCUUAUUCUGUGAGUGGCAAAACUCAUGCAGUGAGCAGAUAAAGCUGGCAGGAGGCAUUGGCGCCCUAAUGCUGGGCACUAACCACCUGCCCGGACUGCGAAUAUCUGUUGGGUCCUUUCUAUAUCUGGUCUAUUCUCGUGUUUGAUUAUAUCCUGGUGGCAAGAAUAGCAAAAUCAACUCUCCUUCCUAUCCCAUGUGGAGAGGCAUGAUUUGAGUCAGAGAGCAUUAUCCUCUCUGCGUUAUCCAACCCCAUGUCCCAUGAUGCACUUUGUAGACAAGCAAGUGUCCCUGGUGGAGAAUCCACAGCCACACAUCCUCAUUGGUUGCAAGGAUCAGUGUCCAAUAUCUACUGCCAUGAUCAUUCUCAGUUUUACAUCCACAGAGCUUCAUAGAAUUCUAACACCACAGGUCCAAGUAGAGGUUUUGGCCUCAGAGUGGGCUAGAUUCCACCUCUGACAGCAGCUGUGGGACUGUUUUUCCAUCUGUAAAAUGGAGACAAGAGUAUCACCUACCUCAUGGUGUUGGUGGGAUCGUUAAACAGAAUUCCGAUCAUGAAACCCUUAGCCUGCUCCCUGCAUAGGCUGCAUGCGCUCAGUGAGCUAUGGCUCUGUUUCAUGCUGACUUUACCAUCAUGUAAGCAGUUUUAAAAAUGCUAGAAGCUUUAGUCAUAGAAUUACCAUAUGAUACAGCCUACUGCAGAGUCCAGAGGCUGAGGCAGGAGAGUUACUUGAACCUGGGAGGCGGAGGUUGCAGUGAGCCAAGAUCGCGCCACUGCACUCCAGCCUGGGCAACAGAGUGAGAUUCUGUCUCAACACAAAAAAGAAGACAUGUGUCCCCAUCACAGUAUCAUACAGAGUGCUUCCACUGCCCUAAAAUACCCUGUGCUCUUCCUAUUCAUCCCUCUCUUCAACCCCAGCAACCACUGAUCCUUUUACCAUCUCCAUGGUUUUGCCUUUCCCAGAAUGUCAUAUUGUUGGAAUCAUACGCUAUGUAGCCUUUGCAAAUGGGCUUCUUUCACCGAGCAAUGUGCAUUGAAGGUGCCUCUAUGACUUUUCAAGGGUUGAUAGCUCAUUCCUUUUUAUUGCUAAAUAAUAUUCCAUUGUCUGAAUGUACCACAUUUUGUUUAUCCAUUCACCUACUAAAGGACAUCUUGGUUGCUUCCAAGUUUGGGCAAUUAUAAAUAAAACUGCUAUAAACAUUGUGUGCAGGUUUUUUUUUCUAGAUGUCAGUUUUUAACUCAUUUGGACUAUAGAGCACUAUUGCUGGAUCAUAUGAUACGUGUGUGUUUAGUUUUAUGAGAAACUGCCAAACUGUCUUCCAAAGUGGCUGCACCAUUUUGCAUUCCCACCGUCAAUGAAUGAGAGCUCCGGUUGUUCCACAUCCUCACCAGCAUUUGGUGUUGUCAUUGUUUUGGAUUUUAGCCAUUUCAUAGGUGUGUAGAGGUAGCUCAUUGUUUUAAUCUAAUAAACAUCUUAUUGAAGAAUAACACACAAGCAGAAAAUUUCAGAGAUACAAACGAACAGCUUUUUCAACCAUCACCCACUGGAUACAGUUCUGUAUCCAGCACCCAGGCCAAGAAACUGACACUAACGGUGCCCUGUGCCC